GAAUCAAGCAAUCAAGCAAUCAAGCAAUUAAAGGUGGUGAGUUCUCUGAUAAAGGCAAGAAAAUUGCAUCCGAGGACCAGUAAACAGAGUACUUCGAAAGUCUACAUUCUAGACAUUGUUCAGUAUAGACUGUAGAUAGCUGAUCUCAUCGAGGACUACCGUUAGAUUUGCAUUCUUCAAACUAUAAGUUUAUAGUCCUCUUCACUUUUGUUUAUUCAGGGGCUCACUUAUUAUUAUAAAUUAAAUUAAAUACUUUGGC